AACGGUCUCUAAACUGGAUCUAACUUCCCUAAAAAUUAAGAUCAACCAUUGCAAGAGUCACACUGACUGAACUGACUACCGCAAUGCCCUCGCCUCAGAUCUGGAUAUUUGUUCUUUCUCAGAAUUCAAAGAACAAACUCUUCAUCCUAAGAGAUUUCCUGGGCUCUGUAGGAAGCUUCCUUUUGCUCCUGGUGCACUGUUUUGCUCACAUCACUGCUACUGACUUCAAUGAGGACUCCAACCCAGUCUUUCUGAGGGUUUUUUAUCAGGCACUAAAGGCUUGUUUCAGUGAAAUGUUCUCCCUCAGACUCCAGAUGUCAGCAGUUCUUCAGGGUGAUAAAUCCUCUGCAGUAAGUGAGAUGGUGCUGAAGG
rnacentral:lncRNA from 1 species